UUUCUCUUCUCCCCCCGACUCCGUUUCUGGAAGCCCACAUCAGCUGAAACGCGAUCGCCGGGGACCUGGAAAGCACCAGCAGCCGCCGAGGUGUGAAGGCAGCGGGGCACGGCCAGCCAGAGGCGCCGGGGUCCCUUCGCAGGGCUUGGUAACACAGCAAUCAGGCACCAGGAAAGAAAGCAGUUUGCCGCUGCCCACAGCCUCUUCCCCAGCGCGCAUCAGAUGACUCCCUGGUUUUCCACCCAGCUGGAGUCCUGCUUGAAACCUUGGAUUGAAAGGGUAAGCGCUUCUCUAGAGGUGGAUUUGUGGCAGUUUGCUUGGGGAGGUGGCGAGCGGCGAGAUCGCAGCGAGGCAGUCUUUGAACAGGAAUAAAUAUUUCCUAUCCCCCCUCCACCACCAUCACCACCCCCAUGCGAACCCCUCAAUCCGAGCAAGAUUCCUAGCGGAGGGAUCUCCUGUCUCCCCACUCACCGACCAAAUCAAUCCCUCCCUCCCCCCUGAAUUUGGCAACCGCGGGCAGCUCCCGAGCUCCGCGCCCCUUGGCUUAAUUGUUUCGAUGCUCUCCAUUCCCUCCCCCCGCAGCCCCGCAGAAUCGCCAGGCCGGGGAGAGGGACCUGCCUUUGUACACUUGUACAUCGCGAGGGGCAGUUUCCCGAGGCACUGAUCGCUGGGGGGAGGGUCCAGCACCCUCAGUGAUUACGGCGGGGAAGAGAGGAAGGUAGAGCCUCACAAACAUGGCUUGCGAGAAUCGAUGAACAAAGGUACUUAAUGCUGAGGCGAGCCUGGCUCAGGGCAGCCGCCGCGCUCAGAGGCAAAGGUGUAAGUUGAUCAACAGAAAGCAGUGAUGGCAUGGGAUUUUGCCUCCCCUUGUGUGCAGCGUGUGUGUGUGCAUGUGUAUGUGUGUGUGUAUGCGCGGGUGGGGGCUAGGGGUGGGGUGGGCAGAGAUCCGACAGUUUAAGGAGGUUUGAAUUGAAUAUGCACCCAGAGGCAGCGGUCUCGUAGGAAAUGCUGUGCUCGUAAGUCAGGCUGCCCCGCGUGUGGAGGCAGCUCCAGCUUUGCUGAGCUCCUCGCUUCCUGCUGGAGGGGCCGGCGCUGGUGGGAGCCGGGCAGGACGGAGCUGUCCACGGGCUUCGGUGCUGAAUGCUUGCGACCAUUUUGGAAUCUGUUGCUUGCCAGCGCCAGCCCUUCCCAGCGCCCGGAGCGGAUGGCUGGGGAGAAUAGGACGCCAGACAGGCACAGAGGAAGAGAGCAGGGACUCCCCAGGAUUGGAGAUCGGGCAGCCGUUGGAUAUGGGGACGGGAUCCCUCGGUCACCCUGUGGAUGCUCCGUCUGCUCUAGGGGAAAUACAGUUAUGGAUUUACUGGCCCGGUGCAGCACUCCAGCGGCAGCAGCAGCAGCAGCAGCAGCUUUCUGACUCUCUUCGGUGACGGGUAUUCUUGGGUGGAUAAUACGGAUUACGUUGUUAUUGCUUAAGAAUACGCGUAGUCGAGGAGAGUACCGCGGCGGGCAGGCAGCGCCACCGCCCCAGCCCCAGCCCCAGCCCGGCAGCUGGCUCCUCAACUGCUAGAGUGGCCAAGGUAGCUCCUUUUUGCUCUUUUCCUACAUGCUUCGCUCUGUCUGUGUCUGUGCCCAGGGGACCCCGGCGAGGCUCCGAGAGCGAGGGGGGCCCCGCGGGGGUGGGCGCUGGCAGCAGGGGGGCUCCAGGCGUCCCCCUCCCCCACCCCGACCAGCCCGCGGGAGCUCAGGGGACUGGGCUCCCCCCAGCCCGGCUGGUGGUGACUAGGACUUUUGUCUCAGCUUCCCUCCUUCCCUCUGGGCAGCGGGCAGGUAGCGGCGGUGGCUCCCGGCAGGGGCAGGGCAGAUCAAGGGCCUGCCUCGGGUCCCCGCCCCCGGGAAAGGGAGAUCACUUGAGAUCUUCUCUGAAGGCGGUCGCCUGAUCCACUGGGGGGUCUGUAGGGAGCAGCCUGGCUGGUCCCGCCGGGGAGGGGGGCGGGACGGUGCUGCCGCUGGAGGCGCGCAGGAGGCGCAGGCUGGAGGCUCGGGCUGGUUCCCGGGAAGGCGAGCGGGGAGCACGGGCCCCGGGGCGCAGAGCGCGAGCCUGCGCAGGGAGACGGGCGCGCUGGCUGCUGAUCUCCAUUCCCUGGGCUACCCAGGCAGGGCCGGCGGCCAUCCCGCCCAGCUCGCAGGCAGCUGUGGGAGAGUCCGGCACAGGAGCAAGCCACGCACACCCCCAGGCUGCCCAGGGGCGCACCGCACCGCACCGCAGCGCAGCGCCUAUCUGCCCCGCCCGGGCCCCUCGCCCCGCCUGCGUCGCCCGCAGGGCCCGGGCUCCGCUCCCCGCUCCCCUUCUGCCUCACGCCGCGGCGGGCAGCGCUGGGUCCCGGCCGGGGGGACAGGCACGUUUUUCUCCCUCGCCUCCUCUGCAGGCUUAGGGACGUAGUAGCCCUGCAGGAAGAGCCGAGAACCAAAGUCCCGUCACAGGACCCGGGGAGACGCUUGUCCAGGCCUGGCUCUGGCACUCAAUGAUGGGAGCCGCAGCCAGGGCCCCUGCAGCUCCCGUGUCUUUUGUCUGGACUGGGACAUGGGCUGCACUGAACGCGGGGGAGGACGCCCCCCCCCCCCCCGGGAUCCACUGGCUUUCGGGGGCGCGCGGGCGGGCGGGCAGAGAGGCUCUCCAGGGACGGGGCUGGAGCCUGCACUUACCACACGGGCUGUGGCCGCUGCACAGCGCCCCGGCUCGCGCACACACCCCGGCCGCGCACCCCAGGCAGGGAGGCGGCGGGAGCGGGGUGCUACAUCUUCUCACUUCACUUCACUUUCCCACUAGCUAACGACUCCCCCUCAAAAACAGACCAGGACAGACAUUAUUUAAAAAAAAACAGACAGUGCAGCUCAAAGUCAAUGCUCAGUAAGAGCCCCUCCCCUCCACCCAUUUCUAGCCCGGGAAGCUGAGGCGCCACCACAGCCACCGCCCAGAGCCGGCUUCCCGUCAAGGAGAGCCCCUUAGCCGCGGCCGGAGAGAGUCCCAGGCGCAGAAGCCAUGAGCGAACCUCUUUUAGGAGCUUAGUUCACCUUGGAUCUGUGCUAAAACCCACGUAGGGGGGGCUGUUGUUGUUAUUGUUAUCAUUAUUAUCAUUAUUAUUAUCAUCAUCCAAUCGACACGAUCUCAACUUUCUGGCCAUCCAGUCCCUGGUUUUCUUUUUCCCUCCCCAUUGGGAAUGUCUAGCCCUCUGCAGCCCUCUCGCCAGUUUCCUCCUGUCCAAGUAACCAGGCUUUCCCUUGUCACUGGGUAGGGGCAGGAUGGCAGGCGCCUUUUGGGAGAGCUAUUUCUCUUAAGUGGGCAGCCACUUUUGUUAUUAGAAAGGCAUCAGGCGAGAAAAGACCUCUGCCAUGGGAUGGGGGAAAGGCCCCUUCCAGGCACACAGCCCCCCUGCCAAGCCCAGGGCUCGAGGCAGGGCUCAUUAUGACAAGGAAUCACUCCAGGUGAACUGUGAGGAGAGCACAGGCACCAGGGACUUUGCAGUGGUCUCAGCAGGCAAUAGCAAUAGUCGCAUACAAGUUCCCACCAGACUGCAACACUGAAGUAGUGCGGCCAGUGCACCAUUUUGCUAUCCUCUUCUGCUCAAAAAGAAAGGACGGAGGAAAAAAAAUAAACGGCUCGAAAAGAAAGGGAAAAUAAACAAUUGCCAUACGAUUGGCUCUUUCCUGCAGGAAACAAUCGCUGCCAUUCCCUACGGGUCAGUCCGAAGUCAGCAAUGCAGUAGGUGCAGUAAGUCUUGCAGGUGUUGGCUCCUGCUCUGGAGGGUGCGGCCCUCUGCACUCGGGAACAGGCUCUUGCAAAGGGUCCCUAUCCCUCGGACGGACAUUGUGACUGCCCCGCUAAAUGGCGCAGUCCUCAUCUCCCAGUAUCAUUUCUACUUUAGGUGACAGUAAAUUAAAUAGCCUUGCUAGUGCAACCUCCCCUUCCCCCGACACACACGCUUUGCCAGUCAGAAAGGCUUAGCCUGCCAAAGAGCCCCUACAUUUGGGGUUUCUAGUUUGUGACCCUGAAGUCCCGCAGAGUGUCACAUGCGCAGAGCUGGAACUGAGAGUUUGAUCUCUGGGCGUGAAACCAAAUGGAGACAGGGAGCUCCCUACCGGCUACACAGACGGCUCCUGUCCCGGGAAGUGUGUACAGCACCAGGCGCUGCCCGCUCCUGAACCGGCUUCUCAGGUGGUAGCUCCAGAUAAGAAGGUAGUAAAGAAACUGGCUGCAGGGCUAAACGUCCCACUUGCGCCCCAGCCCAGUCCCAUCUUCUAUAAAAACAGGCGCAUUCGCCCCCCUGGGUGCACCUAGCAGACCUUCCCAGCAUAGCUAGAGCUCUGGGUGAAAACUGGCUGAGCCUUUCCUGCUCGGAUUGGAAACUAAACACAUGGCACUCGUCUCCUUCAUCUUUGUACCUCUCCCCCCCCCCAUGUAUAACAUACAUAAAGACACAGUUCCGUUCAUAUUUUCUUUCACUGGUAACAGAGAGAAAGCACGCAUAGUCACCCACACCUUUUCCUAUUCAAGCUCUUUUCAUUCACGUUGUUCCACUUUUUGAUGCUAAACAUGUGCAACUCUGAGGCCAGAUUUCUGUCCUAAGUGAAUUAGAUCAGAAGCCAUUUUAAGUCAGACACAGAAGUGUGGUAAUGAUGAAACAGCUUUUUAGGAUGGAUUCGCACACAGUAUAACGAGGAUCAUUUUGAAUGUUGAUAAUCAAGGUUUUGAUAAUGAACUUGCAAGUGCAGGGUGGGGCUGGUAGAGAAUGUUUUCUGCUCUCACUCUUGCAUAGUAAUUGAAAUACCAACUAGGUUAUGCCUAAUUAUUUAAAAUAAUUACCAAAGGAAUCUUACCCUCCUCCCUUCAGUAGAGAGUAGCUCUCAUUGUUCCACAGACGUGUAGCACUGUUAUUCUUUAGACACGUCUUUGAUAAUAAUGCUGUGAUCCUCUUGCUUCUCUAAUACCACUUGAAAGCGGAUUUUUUUUCUUGUGGUUUAGUAUGUUCAGUAGCAGCAGAAAUAUUGUUAAACUGCACUUUAAAAAGACAUGCAGAGAGCUCCCAAGAUCAGUUGCUAAAUCAUAGUCAGGUUCAGCACUGUUACACAUUUACAUUCAUAAGUGCUGCAAGAACACCAAUUGAAACAGUAUUUUAAACAUCCAGGUUUGUAUUACAAACCUUCCUCUGAUCUGAGCUUUUAGUUGACAUUUUCCCUUGAGUCAUGACUCAAGUAUUAUCAGGAGUUCCCAUUUCAUCACAUAAAGGAUGUGGUUUUGUUUGCUUUUUGUUGGGUUCAGUAUCUUGUGCAGUAAAGAUUGAAUUUUUCCCCAUAAAUACAAGCUUGGCAAAACAUCUCUUUAUACUUGGUUUCCUAUAUCUGCAUUCUGUUUAAUAUGAUUAGCCCUUUCUGCUGAAUAAUGCCUUAACGAUAGGGCUGAUGCAUUUUUAAUGCCUGUACUCUUUGUCAUUGUCUAAAUUAACAUUUUGAUGAUUGUAGAUUUCUAUCCUUUAAAAUCUUUGGCAGAUUGUUAUGUUAUAUGGCUAAUAAGAGUAAAAAUAUAAGGUUAAAUCAGAGAAAUAUUAGAUAUUUCAAUUGCAAAAAAUAUUUUUAAAUGUCAGUUAAAUGCUCAAUUGCAUAAAGGCAACUAGAAUUACUUUUCCCAACAGUCUUGUUUAGGAAGCACCCUUUUCAGUUUCAGUAGUAGCACCUGGAAUUUGACAUGUAUGUAUAUUCAAAGUCUCAAAAAUCAGCUUCCAAGUAGCACAUAACUAAGAAUAACUUGUUUAUGCUAUGGGCCUGAUUCUGUGAUCACUUGACUUGAGUGGGACUACUCAUGGAAACAGGGUUACUCACCUAUAAAUCUAAAGCAGCUAGGGACCCAAUCCUGGCAUUUAACUCAAUGGGAAAACACAAACUGACUGUACUGUCUGGGUAGGAUAAGACCCUCAUUUAAAGGAAUUUUAGCAAGAUGUGUGGCAUAUACUUGAUGUAGUCUUAAAUAAAUCUGAAUCCUUACUACUGAAAGUUGAAUCUGAAAAACCUUUUUUUCUUGGUAAAGGUUUUCGCAACAUUAUGUUGCUGGUAAAUCAAAGUAAAAUACUUUACUUUGAUUUUUAAAAAAUCUUAUAGACUUGUAAGUGUACAGUCAGAGAGUGAUUUCUAAAGUGGCAUUUUAGAGUUAGGCUUGCUAAUAGCGCAAUCUGUGUUUUAACAGUUAUUUUGGUGAGUGUGUAUUUAAUUUAGAACAAUAUGUGCUCUUUUAAAAAUCUGUUCUUAAAUUGUUAUGUAAACUGCACCUUUAUAGAAAAUUAAAUAAAGGAUCAGUUAAAAAAGAA